rnacentral:rRNA from 1 species
UAGGGAAUAUUGCACAAUGGGGGAAACCCUGAUGCAGCAAUGCCGCGUGAAGGAUGAAGUAUUUCGGUAUGUAAACUUCUAUCGAUGGGGAAGAAAAAAAUGACGGUACCCAAGUAAGAAGCCCCGGCUAACUAUGUGCCAGCAGCCGCGGUAAUACAUAGGGGGCAAGCGUUAUCCGGAUUUACUGGGUGUAAAGGGUGCGUAGGCGGUUAGAUAAGUCAGAUGUGAAAACCCGGGGCUCAACCUCGGGAAUGCAUUUGAAACUGUUUGACUAGAGUAUGGGAGAGGUAAAUGGAAUUCCUAGUGUAGCGGUAAAAUGCGUAGAUAUUAGGAGGAACACCAGUGGCGAAGGCGAUUUACUGGACCAAAACUGACGCUGAGGCACGAAAGCGUGGGGAGC